rnacentral:rRNA from 1 species
AACGAACGCUGGCGGCGUGCUUAACACAUGCAAGUCGAACGAGAAAGGGGCUUCGGCCCUGAGUAAAGUGGCGCACGGGUGAGUAACACGUAGGUAACCUGCCUCUAAGAUUGGGAUAACUCGUCGAAAGAUGGGCUAAUACCAAAUAAGACCACAGUUUUUUCGGAAGCAGAGGUCAAAGGUAGCCUCUAUUUAUAAGCUAUCGCUUAGAGAUGGGCCUGCGCACCAUUAGCUAGUUGGUAGGGUAACGGCCUACCAAGGCAAAGAUGGUUAGCUGGUCUGAGAGGAUGAUCAGCCACACUGGAACUGAGACACGGUCCAGACUCCUACGGGUGGCAG